rnacentral:rRNA from 1 species
UUUUAGAAAUUAAUUUAAAGUCUAACCUGCCCACUGAAUAAUUUUAAAUGGCCGCAGUAUCCUAACUGUGCAAAGGUAGCAUAAUCAUUAGUCUUUUAAUUGAAGGCUGGAAUGAAUGGUUGGAUGAAAUAUUAACUGUUUCAUAAAAAUUUAUGAUAGAAUUUUAUUUUUUAGUCAAAAAGCUAAAAUAUUAUUAAAAGACGAGAAGACCCUAUAAAUCUUUAUAUUUAAAUAAUUUUAAUUAUUUAGAUAAAUUAAAUUAUAAUUAUUUUAAAUAUUUUAUUGGGGUGAUAUUAAAAUUUAAUAAACUUUUAAUUUAUUAUAAACAUAAAUUAAUGAAUUAUUGAUCCAUUUAUUAUGAUUAAAAAAUUAAGUUACUUUAGGGAUAACAGCGUAAUUUUUUUAGAGAGUUCAUAUUGAUAAAAAAGAUUGCGACCUCGAUGUUGGAUUAAGAUAUAGUUUUAGGUGCAGCAGCUUAAACUUAAAGUCUGUUCGACUUUUAAAUUCUUACA